UGUAAAAUGGCAAAGUGGAGGUGAAGCAAAAGUCAGCAAUGGCCAAGUUCAAGUAAGAGAUGGUGGUGACAGUGCGUUUCAUGCGGAAACCGGCCACCCAGAUCACGAGCCCGUUGCCCAAGACUCCAAGCACAAAGAGGUCCAAGAACGCCCGAGAUGUGACAUGCCUGACUUAUAUGCUGACAACUGGAUGCAGAACCUAUUUGACAGCAGCAAUCACUCUUAACAUCUUUCCAAGAAGUGUCUCUCCAGCCUCUUCUUGAGAUUUUCUUGGUGGAAAGACAUAAUAUUCUCUUUACCUGUGAGAUCUCUUCAAUAUGCUUUAAGAAUACAGAGAUCCAACAUUCUCCACAUCAGAGCAGAAGGAAUAUGGGAUAAGGAAGCUUCUAAUCAUAAGAAAAAGCAAGGACGAUCAUGUAAGGAAAACCUAUGAUAAUGAAAGGCAGAGAUGGAGAGGAGAGGAAGAGGAACUACAUGCCCAGAGAAAGAUACAUGUGGAUAGUUCAAACAGUCAAAAAAGGUCAGCUACUCUACACUUAGACACAGUCUCCAAGAUCCAUCACACAAUAUUCAACCCUUCUGUCAGCAUAUCUUUUUGAUUAUUUAUAACAAAAACCUUUUAGAAAGUUCCCAAGGAAGGGAGAUGCUGUGUGUGUGUGUGACUUUGCCUGGAGGGAUAGCAAACGAUGUUUAUUUACCUGAGAUAGGAUAUGGAGGACAAAGAAAAAUAAUGAAUAAGUCACAUCCAACUUGGCAAAUCAGAGGUCUUACUGGAGUGAAGUUAUGCAAACUCAAAAGGAACUCACAGAAAUAGUGGUAAGUGCUAUGAUUUUUACAUAGUGAAGGACUCAGAUCCCAAGAGAAAACAAGAAAGAGAAUCAGUAGAGAGUAACUGCUGAACAGAGUGUCAGAUUGUUUGAACUCUGAUUGUUUCUCUUGAAGAUGGUUUGAUGGGAAUCCAGUUCCUCCACACCCCACCACCCCUAUUACUGAAGCUUUAUUCUUUUACACCAAAUAGCCCAUGAUUACCACACAGCAUCUGUAAAAAUAGUGAGGCAUGUGUGUUUUUGGGUAUAAUUUAGAGGGUGAAGGAAAUAAGGAAAGUCUUAGGGUGCACUUCUGUUCUGUGUAGUUCCAUUUGCACAAUUUAGGCAAACCCACAGGAAAUGGCACUGCAUUGUGCUGAGUUGGGGUAAUCGCUGCUUGAGAUACCUAAUCAUUAUGGUCAGAUAAUGGACUACUAGCAAUUGUGCAGGUUCUCAGUUAGAGCUGGACCUGGGUAAGUCACUAGUUGGGUGAUAAGAUAAGCCAUUUAAGCAGGGCUGAGCAUUUUAUAUCAAGGGUGAGAAAGUUAAUAUUUAAUACCAGGCAGGCUUCAGGGUCCUUGGCUCAUAUUUAUAGCAAGAGUACAUGAAAAACAUUCUAACAGUGCAUCAUUUAAAAACAUAGUAGUUGGAGAAGGGAGCCGGAUAGAGGGGAGAAACCAUGGCAGGUGAUGUUAAGAUUCUGCUCUGUGUAUUUACAGGUUGUUAUUAAUGUUCUCAAGGGAUGGAUGGUACUGGGCUUUGUAUGUUUAAGUGGGCAAUUAUAUCUUACCAAUUGGAUCAAAGAUUAUUGUGUUGUGUGUUCUUUUAUGGGGGGGGGUUUGAGUGUAGGCAAGUGCGGCUGGGAUGUGUUUCCACCAAAAUAUCUAGCAGAUAUCUGGGCACCUUGGUGCAGACCUAGCGGGGUAAAAGACUAUACUUUUUUAUUUUUAUAUUUUUACAACAACAGAUGGCGUGCCAAGGAGAUGGUCAAGAAUCCACUAGUAAUCCUGAGAGUUGAGAGAAAGUUUUUAUUUUCUAAGUAAGAUGAGGCCGGCGCCAUGUUAAGUCAUGUGAUAUCUUAAGCUGGGGGGGGGGAGGGGAAAUUCAAACAAAGAAAGGGGAAGCCACCAGGGCUGGCAGGCUGUAGGUCCCCUGCUGUGUGAUAAGUAAUGUCAGAUCAGAGAGUCAGAGAUUAAAAGCUGCUUUUUAAAGAAAGUUGUUUAGAAAGUCUUUCAGGAUACUCAUAUUCUUUUUAAUGUGGGCUCCACGGGAACUUUGGGUUGAAAUCCUAGUUAGACAGGCUACUUCUUAAUUACAGGUAUUAUUAAAAGGUGAUUGAGUUUGUUUUUAGAAAGAAGAGAGUAAAGAGAUUACCUGAAUCAGGUGGGGAUUUUCAUCCAUGGUUCAGAACUUAGAUAGGGGAAAAAUUAGUCACUAACUCCAAGUAGAGAGUUGUGAUAAAUGUCUGUAACACCAGGCAGAGUGAAUGCAGACAUAUAUUAUAGAAGUUAUUAAGGUUAAAGAAAAAUCUGUGGCUCCGGGUAGAGAGCUUAACAGAUUGAGAUAUUUUGGGAUAAAGUCCUGGUUUGAUGUGUUGCUUAUUGAUACUGGAAUUGAUAAAAGGUAUUUGGUUUGUUUUAUGAAUUACACUGCUAAAGGCCAUAUGGCUCAUUGAUGCCGGCUAGCGAGGGUUUGUGGUUACUUUUGAUAUAUACCACAACAGGAAGCUCGAAUUCUCUUAACGUGGGCUCCACGGGAACUUUGGGAUAAUUUCCCGAUAUCACAGAGUAAAAAAGCCCAUCAGGCUCAUUGUUUAGCUUACUUCCUUUUUAAAAAAUUUGCUUAAUAUUCAUGAUGGGUGUGACUUUGCGUUUUAUGGUUAUAUUAUUACUCUGGGAGAGAGUACAAGAUACAAGCUUUUCUGGUUUCAGACUAAGGAAUACAGUAUUUUGGGAGAAAGAUUUUGUCUUUGUGUUUUUAUAAAGUGUGGUUAGGCUCUGGAAACCUCCCAGAGUCAUACUGAUCAGAUUUGAUAGAGGUAGACCGCCUGAAAAAUUUAUUCAGGAGAAUCAAACAAAAAGAUAUCUCGAUUCUAAACUUUUUCUUGAGAGUUGUAUUUUACAGAGCGUGCCGACCUACUUGGAAUCCUGGUCUCAAGGACUUUCAGCUGGGUCCAGUCAGGACACAUCCUGCUACAGCAUUUGCUUCAUUCUUCCUACCCCCUGCCCCCAAGGAUAUCUCAACACUCAUGUACAGCUUGAAGAAGUUAUGGAGGAGUCAUCACCCCAAUUCUGUGGACUUUGGGGGGCUGAAAAUGGUUAUUCUAAAGUUGUUUUUAUGAGGAAUUUAAAAUUGGUUGUAAUUUGACAGGGAGGAAUUAGCUAGAUUGAAUUGUACAGUCAUAAUCUCAUUUGGUAACUAAGCUUAAAUCGUAUCUUUGUUUUGUUAUAGAAUUUUUUUGUCAAAAAAGUUUACAAGGUUUAGAGCCAGUUCUUCUAUUGUUGUCAUUACAAACUUCUGAGUUGAUUACACCUGUGAGUUAAGAUUCAAAUAGCAAAGUCAUGGCUCUGAGUUUGUGAGAGAACUUUCAAGAUAUUAUUAAGAUAUAAAGACAACAGUCCAGAUUGUCUUAUAUAGAUAGGUGGUUUUCAAAAACGUCAGAAAUUCACAAAAUUUGAGAUUUAAAGUUAUUUAUCUUUUGUUGAGACAUAUCUGUUCCUAACAGUUACCCUUUGGUGGAUUUAAUGAAGAAUGUGAACAUCUCUACCUCCAGGUGAGGCAAUACUUUGUGGCUAGGCAGCCACUAUACAAAAUUGCCUCUUUCAUCUGCAGACUAAUACUGUCCAGAAAAGGACAAAUUAUGCAGAAUAGUUGACUGAUAAACUCUGCCAAGACAGGGUGAUCAGCCCCUCAAAAUCUGCAUUUCUAGAGUCUGUCAGUUGAUUUUGGGCCAGAAGGCUGAAGACUUGUGCUCACAUGUUGCUAACAGGGGACUGUGCUAGCGGAGAUUUGUCUCUACAACCUCUCAGUUCUGGAAGCCGUGUUAGGCUUCCUAUGUGUAUAGAUAUUUGGUCAUUCCCAGAUUUCUGAUGGGGUUGAAGACAUUAUAGUCUCAUAGCCUAUCAGGCUGUUUAACUCUAAAUAUACAUAUUUUAUUGGAUAGUUAUCAGGAAAUAUACAAGCUAGCCAAGAUAUAGUACAGAUUUUAAGCCUUUCUUAAGCUGGAAUGGAUAACUAAAUGUUCUGUUUAACUGAUAAAGUGUUGGACUGGGUGUUAGAUAUAUUUUAUGCUCUUAAUUACAAAAUGAUAGUAGUUGUGCUCAGCUUAUAUUUGAGAGAAAAGUUUUUUUUUUAAUUAGACAAAAAGGGUGAAAUGUAGGAUGAUGCCACAGGUGAGGCAAGUACAGGAUAGAAGGAGGCCUGUCACUGGAGGAGAAGGAAGGAUGGGCGGGAGAGAAGUUUGAAGGAAGAGGAGGAGACUAGGGGAGAGAGGAGGAGAAGGGAACCGGAGAGAGGGGAGAAGCCAUGGCAGGUGAUGUUAAGAUUCUGCUCUGUGUAUUUACAGGUUGCUAUUAAUGUUCUCAAGGGAUGGAUGGUACUGGGCUUUGUAUGUUUAAGUGGGCAAUUAUAUCUUACCAAUUGGAUCUAAAAAAAAAACAAAAAAACCCAUAGUAGUUGGAUUUCAUAUCACUUCACACGUCAUAUUUCAUUCUUUUGUUGUUGUUCUGUCAAAAAUGCAAAUAAAAAUGAAACAAAACAAAACAAAUAAGAAAGCUC